GGGGGCCCGCAAGCGGUGGAGCAUGUGGUUUAAUUCGAUGCAACGCGAAGAACCUUACCUACUCUUGACAUCCAGAGAAUUUAGCAGAGAUGCUUUAGUGCCUUCGGGAACUCUGAGACAGGUGCUGCAUGGCUGUCGUCAGCUCGUGUUGUGAAAUGUUGGGUUAAGUCCCGCAACGAGCGCAACCCUUAUCCUUUGUUGCCAGCACGUAAUGGUGGGAACUCAAAGGAGACUGCCGGUGAUAAACCGGAGGAAGGUGGGGAUGACGUCAAGUCAUCAUGGCCCUUACGAGUAGGGCUACACACGUGCUACAAUGGCGCAUACAAAGAGAAGCGACCUCGCGAGAGCAAGCGGACCUCAUAAAGUGCGUCGUAGUCCGGAUUGGAGUCUGCAACUCGACUCCAUGAAGUCGGAAUCGCUAGUAAUCGUAAAUCAGAAUGUUACGGUGAAUACGUUCCCGGGCCUUGUACACACC
rnacentral:rRNA from 1 species